UAAAAGUGAACCUGAACAGACAGGUGCGGAUGCUGCGGAGGAUGAGGAGGUGGAUGUGACCUCUGUUGACCCCAUUGUGGCUUUUUGCAGCAGUGAUGAGGAGCUAGAAGACUUCAAGGCCUUGCUCU